CAAUGAGGAUAAAUUUCCAUCUGAUUAACACUGAGGAUUGGAUAUACGCUAUUCUGAG
rnacentral:snoRNA from 1 species